AAAACUUUAAAAAAAGGGGCUGCUACUACAGACCCAUUGUAAUAUUUUUAAAGCUACAAUUUUUUUUAACAUACUUAGAGCAUCAAAUUUUAUAAAUUUGAUAUGGAAUAUCAUAUGAAACUUUAGCAAGCCCAUAACUAGAUAACUACCUUUUUUCAAUAUUAUAUGAUUAAAUAAUCACCAAAAUGUAUAUGCCUUUGGGUCAAAGCAUACAACCAUGGUUUUAGAUAAUGACUAUUAUGUCUGAUAUUUAUAGGUUUGAUAGUUAUCCUUUAUACCAUUAUUUGAAGGCAAAUUCUGAAUUGCAUUGGCAACAACCGUUACCACCAUUAUUAUCAUUUACCAUUAAGUAAUGGUAACGGGCGUUGGCUCAAUAAUUCAACUAACAAAAAACAAAUGCAAGCAGUAUUUUCUUCAAUUUUUUCAUUCUUUACAUGUUCCAACCUUCCAGCUACUGCUUUUAUCACAUUUUCUCUCAAAAU
rnacentral:misc_RNA from 1 species